GAUGAACGCUGGCGGCGUGCUUAACACAUGCAAGUCGAACGAAGCACCUUAUUCUGAUUUCUUCGGAAUGAAAAAUUUGGUGACUGAGUGGCGGACGGGUGAGUAACGCGUGGGUAACCUGCCUCAUACAGGGGGAUAACAGUUAGAAAUGACUGCUAAUACCGCAUAAGACCACAGCACCGCAUGGUUCAGGGGUAAAAACUCCGGUGGUAUGAGAUGGACCCGCGUCUGAUUAGGUAGUUGGUGGGGUAACGGCCUACCAAGCCGACGAUCAGUAGCCGACCUGGGAGGGUGACCGGCCACAUUGGGACUGAGACACGGCCCAAACUCCUACGGGAGGCAGCAGUGGGGAAUAUUGCACAAUGGGGGAAACCCUGAUGCAGCGACGCCGCGUGAGCGAUGAAGUAUUUCGGUAUGUAAAGCUCUAUCAGCAGGGAAGAAAAUGACGGUACCUGACUAAGAAGCACCGGCUAAAUACGUGCCAGCAGCCGCAGUAA
rnacentral:rRNA from 1 species